rnacentral:rRNA from 1 species
UACAGAGGGGGCAAGCGUUAUUCGGAAUUAUUGGGCGUAAAGCGCGUGUAGGCGGCCAGGUAGGUCCGCUGUGAAAACCCGAGGCUCAACCUCGGGACGUCGGCGGAAACCAUCUGGCUAGAGUCCGGAAGAGGAGAGUGGAAUUCCCGGUGUAGCGGUGAAAUGCGCAGAUAUCGGGAGGAACACCGGUGGCGAAGGCGGUUCUCUGGGCCUUACCUGACACUGAGGAGCGAAAGCGUGGGAGCGAACAGG